rnacentral:rRNA from 1 species
GCGCGAAACCUCUGCAAUGCGGGAAACCGUGACAGGGGGAUCCCAAGUGCUCAUGCAUUGCAUGGGCUGUUCUUUGGUCUAAGUAACCAGAGGAGUAAGGGCUGGGCAAGACCGGUGCCAGCCGCCGCGGUAACACCGGCGGCUCGAGUGGUAACCGUUAUUAUUGGGUCUAAAGGGUCUGUAGCCGGCCGGAUAAGUCUCUUGAGAAAUCUGGCAGCUUAACUGUCAGGCUUUCAGGAGAUACUGUCUGGCUCGAGGCCGGGAGAGGUGAGAGGUACUUCAGGGGUAGGGGUGAAAUCUUGUAAUCCUUGAAGGACCACCAGUGGCGAAGGCGUCUCACCAGAACGGACCUGACGGCAAGGGACGAAAGCUAGGGGCACGAACCGGAUUAGAUACCCGGGUAGUCCUAGCCGUAAACGAUACUCGCUAGGUGUCGGCCACGGGUGCGACCGUUGUCGGUGCCGUAGGGAAGCCGUGAAGCGAGCCACCUGGGAAGUACGGCCGCAAGGCUGAAACUUAAGGAACUUGGCGGGGGAGCAACCG